GCUCCCGGGGGUACGCGGAGGGAGGGGGAGAGCAGUUGAGGAUUGUGGAGUGGGGAACGAGGGGAGGCGGCCUUUACUGGGCGGGGAAAGUGUCCCAAACACCGGUCUGUGGCCCUGGGAUCCUGCCAGUCGUCCACAGAGCCGCCUCCUGUCGGGAGGAGAGAAUGGCAUGACCAUAAUUCUCUAUAAAGCAGUAUGUGCCCAACAGACAGAAGAGAGUGAUAGCAGGCUAUACUGACCCCAAAUGACCAUUCUGAGUUCCAGUAAGGAAUUGAACUUUGGUAUCUCAGCACAGGCGUAAUCUUGCACACGAGGAAGUUGCGACAGGGAGAAGAGCUCUGGUUGGAUCAAUGACUUGUGGGCUCACAGGGAGAAAGCUGGAGAAACAGAUUCUGUUUAAAACCCGACCAUUCGUUAUUCUGUGUGUUUUGGGUACGGGGCUACUGACGGGAAGUAGCAAUAGAACGAAGAAGAAAGCACAUCUUCUCAGAUUUUCUUCAUUAUUUCCAACAAGACUCAACAGGAUCAACAACGAAGACUCUCUCUGAUUCUUGCCUCAAUUUCAUGUCUCCAAGAGCUGUGAUCUGCGUAGGAAUGAAGUGUGGUGACAUCUGCAGCUGGAAUCCUUUUUCAAAUUGCUUGAUUCAUUGCUUAAAAUGAAUAUGAAGAUAAGAAAGACAACCCUCCCUCCUCAAAUGAUCCUUUUGGCGACAGUGCCCAGUAUCUUUUUGGAGAGCCGCCUUGAUCACAGUUGGUCUGCAUGUGUUGAGCCCACUAUCAGCUUCAGCAGAGGGCAGGUAACACUGACUCAGACCUGAUCAGAUGAGCACCACAUUCCUCAGGGCAUAGCCAUUGGUUCAAGAAUGACUGUGUGAUCCAUCCGUAUCAAUGACAUAUAAUGAGAUCAGUUCUGAGACUACAGAGGGAAAGGAAGCCUCUUCAUGCUGGACUCGACUUCAGGAGGAUGUGAAGUAGAGCUGCUGUGACCUUCUUACAACCUCGAGAAGACACUCUGUUGAAAACAGAGCCAGACCAGAAGAAGCAAAGCUAAGAGAUAGAGAGAAAUGGAAUUGAAAUAACAUUUUGAGCUCCUGGAUCAAGCCAUGACUGAAGCUAGUAGUAUCUGGACUUUUCAGUAACAUGAGCCAGUAAAUUCCUUGUCUGCUUAA